rnacentral:lncRNA from 1 species
AUGAUCAUCCUUUUUUUCUUUCUCACUCUCCAAUUCCUCCUCUUUCUCAUUUUUAUUUUCUUCAUCACCAUUUACGGACCCUUGUCCACCUCCGUCAGUAUUGUUUUCACAUCUCUCCGCAGCUUCACUUUUCCCUGACUGAGAUUGUUCAGGAAGUUUCUCUGAAUCCCUCUGUACUGUAGUUUUUUUUAGUGGUUAGACGUUGAUCCAUUUUAACUUUCUUUUCUUUUGGGAGACAUGUUUUACCUACAAACAAAGAAAAACAAAAAUUACAUUAUAAUUGAUGUAUGCAUAGAUUUUUAAAAAUACAUUACAAACACCACGAAUACCGACACACCAAUAGCCACCACCACAAACACCACCAACCAACGCCAAAACAAACAAACAAACACUACGAAUACCGAUAUCACUGACAGCCACCACAAACACCACCAACCAGUGCCACCACAACGACCACAAACACCACCACCAAUACCAUCCAACAAUAUCGCGACAGUCAAUAGAAAACUGCAAUGGAAACUAGGGAUUUCUCGAGUUCUUCCUAUGAUUUUACCAUCAAAACUCAAAAUUGUAAACCCAUUCUCGAAGAUAAUACAACUAAAAAUUUUAUUUUGCAUCAUUAACUUAAAAAGCCCUUAUUGUUUAGAAAAAAAUAACAAAUAUAGAGCUCUUCUCGAACUCUGUUACUUAUGAAGACAAAUAAAACGACUGAUACAAGCAAGAAUAAAGUUGAAAAUAACACCUAUGUGGUCGAAAAUGAGAAGAAAAGUGAUCUGUUGCGGAGGGUUGAGCAAAUUUGGAGUAGUUAUUGUCUGUACUGUAUUGUUGAGUAAGAAUGAGAUAGAAAGAGUGAGACCUCGAGAUUUUAAAUGAUGAAACGUUUUGUAUGGGUUGAUUUGUAUUUUGGAAAAGAAUGACAAGUAGUUUUAAAAAUGUUAAUUUGGUCCGAAUUGAUCUUAAUUAUUUUUAAAAUCAUAAAAUAUAUGUGUAAUUUUUAACCCUCUCAUCAUGCAAUUGCCAAAAGGGUAAUUAAAUUAAAAUUUUAUAAAAAUAAUUGAAGUUGUAAUUGACUGAGUACUCUAGGAGGUGACCCUAUGAAAACUCGCCCCUGGUCCUAGAUUAAUCAAUUUAGGUACUAUUAGUCUAACAUAUGAACUCAAUUGAAAUUGUAAAAAAUAAAUAUUCAACAUGUUGCGUCAGAUUUCUCAUCUGUUGUAAAUUAUCAAUCAGAUUAGAUAACAACAAAUUACGAAUCUGAUGUAAAUUAUCAAACAGAUUAAGCCAUCUGUUGCGAUAGAUUACCCAUCUGUUGUAAAUUAUCAAAUAGAUUAUCAUAUGUCGCAACAGAUUAUGCAUAUAUUGUAAAUUAUCAAAUAGGUGCGGCCAUCUGUUGUGGCUGACCCUAUGAGAACUCACCCCUAGUCCUAUAUUAAUCGAUAGUUUACCCUAUGAGAACUCACCCCUAGUCCCAGAUUAUUCAAUCAAGGUAUUAGUACCCUAGUCCUAGAUUAAUCAAUGAAGGUAUUUGUCUAACAUAUGAGGUAGUAAGAAUUAGUUUGGCUCAGAGUGAUCGAUCGACGACUCUGAUCGGGAGGAACGUAGUACCGUCUCAUCAUGCAAUUUCCAAAAGACUUAAUUGAAGUUGUAGUUGACCCUAUGAGAACUCACAUUCGAUUAAGGUAUUAGUCUAAUAUAUGAACUCAAUUGAAUUAUAUAUAAGCAAAUAUUCAACCUUUUGCAACAGAUGUAUUUUAUGUUUGAUCAAAUCAAACAGAUUAUGUUAUCUAUUGCAACUUAUUAUGCAUCUAUUGUAAAAUAUCAAACAGAUUAAGUCAUUUGUUGUGACAGAUCAUGAAUCUUCUAUAAACUAUCAAACAAAUUAAGUCAUCUGUUGUGAUAGAUAUCUAUUGUAAAUUAUCAAAUGGAUUAAGUCAUAUGUCGUAAUAGAUUAUUCAUCUGUUGUAAAUUAUCAAAUAGGCACUGUCAUCUAUUGUAGUUGACAUUAUGAGAACUCACCCCUAGUCCUAGAUUAAUCAAUUAAGGUAUAAGUUGAACAUAUGAGGUAGUAAGAAUCGUUUCGGCUUAGAGUGAUCAAUCGACGACUUUGGUCUGGAGGAAUGCAGUACCGUCGCAUCAUGUAAUUGAAAAAAGACUCAAUUGAAGUUGUGGUUGACUCUAUGAGAACUCACAUUUGAUUAAGGUAUUAGUCUAACAUAUGAACUCAAUUGAAUUAUAUAUAAGCAAAUGUUCAAUUUGUUGCAACAUAUGUAUUUUCUGUUGGAUCAAAUCAAACAGAUUAUGUAUCUUUUGUAAACUAUCAAAUAGAUUACAUCAUUUAUUAUGAUAGAUCACAAAUCUGUUGUAAACUAUCAAACGAAUUAAGUCAUCUGUUGCGAUAGAUUACCCAUCUGUUGUAAAUUAUCUAAUAGAUUAAGUCAUAUAUUGCAAUAGAUUUCCCAUCUGUUGUAAAUUAUCAAUUAGGCGUUGUCAUAUAUUGUAGUUAACAUUAUGAGAACUCACCCCUAGUCCUAGAUUAAUCAAUUAAGGUGUUAGUCUAACAUAUGAGGUAGUAAGAAUUAGCUCGGCUCAGAGUGAUUGUAACACCCCGUAUUCAAGUACGUGUAUAGGCUUAUUCAAGUACGUGUAUUGAUCUUAUUUAUAUGGAAUUAAUUUUAUUUUAUUUUAUUUAUACCAAAAUUUGUCCGUCGAUGGUUCCAUACGAAGGUUAUUGAAUAAGAUUUCCAAUGAUAUAAAGAUUUCCAAAAACGGAUAGGUUUUGGAUAUAAUCGAGCACGUUCGAAACUAUAAAACGGUGGCCGGGAUAUUGGGAAUAGUAAAUGUGCAGGAAAAUUUCCUGCACACAAACUACUGAGGCCAGCCAAUUUUUUGGGUCAACUUUGAACGAUCAUAACUCCCUUAAUAUAAUGAACUGGGAGAGCUGCGACCUAUAAAAAGAAAUAUCUUUGAGUCUUCUUUCCAACGCAAUUGGUUUCAUCCAAAUCCAACAUCUAAGUAAGGAGUUAUACUCGUUUUACUUCAGCCUCUCAAAAUAGAUUUUUAGGGUCAACUUCAAACGAUCAUAACUCCAUGUACAGUUAUACUCGUUUUACUUCAGCCUCUCAAAACAGAUUUUUAGGGUCAACUUCAAACGAUCAUAACUACUUGUACAGGACGAACUGGGUGGAUUAAUUUAUAUUAAAUGAAAUACCUUUGAAUUAUCUUUCUAACGAUACCAAUUUCACCCAAAUCCGAUAUCGGAGCAAAGAGUUAUGGCCGAUUUACUUUAGCCUAUCAAAACAGUCCACCAUGGACAGAUUCGGAUUUACUUAAAUUUUUAAGGGCAAUAUGGUCAUUUUCCAUCACCUCAUGGACGAAAAUUGGUCAUUAUAUACAUAUACUUAGCCUUAUAUCCACCAUUUAUCAUCCAAAUCAUUGAAGAAUAAGAAACCCUAGCCUAAGUUCAACUCCAAUUAUCUUGUGAUUCAACCGUAGAAAAUCCAAAUUGAUUCCGUAGUUGUGUUCACCGUCUCAAGGGCUUCGAGAAGCACCCCUUAUUUGUGCCAACAGGACUUCGAAAUCAAAAGGGCCAUUUUUUUUGGUAAGGAUGUAAAUUAUGUUGGUGUUAUUUAUAUGGAUAUGUAUAUAUAUAUAUGCAUGUGAGCAUAAGAAGUAUGUUAUUUGAUUGUUGUUGAAAGAUGAUUGGAAAUGAUGUUGGAUUAUUCUUGUGCAUGGUUGGAUUAUGUUAAAUUGUGAAGGAAUUUGGGGUGAUGAUGUGGUAUUGAUGAUGUGGUAUUGAAAUGAUGAUUAUAUAUAUAUACACACAUAAACCUAUUGUUCAAGUUGGUUUUUGGAAUGUUUUGCAAAUAUUGGUAGUAUGGAAUUAUGGAAGAGAAUUGUGGUGUUGGGUUGCUAAUACUAGAUGCCAAACAUUUCAUUGUAGAUAAGUGAUUUGUAAAGGCGGGAAGUUGUGUUGAAUUGGUAGCUGAAUCUACAACGAGGUAUGUAAAGCAUACUCUAACAAUGUUCUUUGGCAUGAAAACACCAAUGUUCCAUCAAGUAAGAUUCCGAGGUUGUCCAAAAACAUGUAUUGUUCUACGUUACCAACGAAGUUGUUUCCAUCCUAUAAAGUGUCAAAAUGUUUCAUUGAUAUACCAAAAGGCUCCUAUUUCAUUGUUGUGAUAUUGAUGAUUCUGAAACACAUUGUUGAUGUACCAAUGAGUCUUUAUUACAUCGUUAUUGUAUAGAAGGUCUAUUACUUGGUUCCUAUUGAUGUAUCAUUGUUUCAAAGUAUCAAAAAUGUGGUGGCGACCGAAAUAACAAUCUCAAAGAUUAAUUGAACUAAGUGAUGGAAGUUCUCUCUUAUCGGGUGGUAUCCCAGGGGCAUAAGCCUAGCAUGGGUCGAUCCCUAUUUAUGUGUUUAUGGGUGGUAUCCCAGGGGCAUAAGCCUAGCAUGGGUCGAUCCCAGUUGAUAUGUACUGGAGGCAUCCUAAUGGUCACAGUACAGUACAGUAAUGAUUACAAAGACGAUAAGAACGAAGGUAAAGUGAUUGAAUAAAUACAAUGUACAGGUUGUCACAAGUUCUAGUAAGUGUGGUCCACUCCUAUUAUGAUUUAUUCACUUGUUUCUGAUUUCUAUUGAGCUCCUAUAUCAUAUGUGAUUAUCUACAGCUUUACAUACUCAGUACAUAUUUCGUACUGACGUCCCCCACGGGAGACUUGCAUUUCAUGCUGCAGGCACAGGUACCUCAGCUCAUACACCGCACAAGUAGGAGCCAGGAUAUCUAACUGCUUUUGGUGAGCUCCAGUUUGCUUCGGGGUUUUCCGUGUCAUAUCCAAUCACUUUUGGUAUUGUAUAGAAGUUAGUUAUAUGGCGGGGUGUGUCCCUACCUUAGUUAAACUCUGUGUAUUGUCUAGAGGUUUUGUAGACCUAAUGUACAGUAAAGGCGGUGUUUUGUUAAUAAACGUGAUGGAUCCAACAACCAAGUAUUGUAUAUACAUAUAUAUGUGUGCUCGAGCUUAUACAGGUGAUUAUUUCCUUUUAUAUGUGACAUGAUGUUGUCCGAAUUUCGGGUUGUCAUAGAGGUAUGCAUGGGAAGUAUAAGGUUAUGAGAUGGUUCUCCCGGACCUCCUCGGUUACGGGUGCCAGUCCGCCCCAAUAGGAUUUGAGGCGUGACAGUGAUCAAUCGAUGACUCUGGUCAAGAGGAACGCAGUACCGUCUCAUUAUGCAAUUGCCAAAAGAAUCAAUUAAAGUUGCAUUUGACCCUAUGAGAACUCACAUUCAAUUAAGGUAUUAGUCUAACAUAUGAACUCAAUUGAAAUUAUAUAUAAAUAAAUUUUCCACAUGUUGCAAUAGAUGUCAUUUUUGUUGGAUCAAAUUAAAUAGAUUAGGUAAUCUAUUGCAAUAUAUUACCCAUCUGUUGUAAAUUAUCAAAUGGAUUAAGUCAUAUAUAGAAAUAGAUUACCCAUCUGUUAUAAAUUAUCAAACAUGCAUUGUCAUCUAUUGCAGUUGACAUUAUGAGAACUCACCCCUAGUCCUAGAUUAAUCAAUUAAGUUAUUAGUCUAACAUAUGAGGUAGUAAGAAUUGGCUCGGCUCAGAGUGAUCAAUCGAUGUCUCUAGUAGGAAGGAAAGCAGUAUCGUCUCAUCAUGAAAUUGCCAAAAGACUCAAUUAAAGUUGUAUUUGACCCUAUGAGAACUCACAUUCAAUUAAGGUAUUAGUCUAACAUAUGAACUCAAUUGAAAUUAUAUAUAAAUAACUUUUCAAUAUGUUGCAAUAGAUGUCUUUUCUGUUGGAUCAAAUCAAACAGAUUAGGUAAUAUGUUGCAACAUAUUACUUAAUUAUUGUAAAAUAUCAAACAGAUUACAUCAUUUGUUACGAUAGAUCAUGAAUCUAUUGUAAACUAUCAAACAGAUUGUAAUACCCCAUAUUUUGGACUAGAAUAAAAAUCCAUCAUUCCUAUACGUAGACGUUUCAAAAGCCUCAAAUUUUAUGUAAAUUUAGUGUAUUAAUAAACUAUGUAGUGUGGAAAUCUAUUUGAGCAUAAAUUUAGAUCAUAGAGGUUCCCUAACUCAAGUAACGUUUGAAAGCUUUCCUAUCGUUCAAGUUUUAGUGCGCGUCAAAACUUGGGUUAACUUCAAUCGGUCAUAACUCCUUUUAUAUAUUGAAUUAUAUGGACUACUAUAUAUCAAAUGAAAGAUCUUUGAAUUAACUUUCCAAAGAUACCAAUUUUGCCCAAAUCCAACAACCGAGCAAGAAGUUAUAUGACAAUGAAAAUUGGAGUACAUUGCCUAACGUAAGGUGUACUAUGCACAACCUAAAGUAUGCCAUAAUGUGUGCGAUGCACAACCUAAUAUGUGCAAUAAGGUGUAUAAUGCAUACCCUAAUGUGUACGAUAAAGUGUGCGCCGCACAUAUUGUAGUCCAGGUGACUUAAAUAGUCCGUUUUGAGGGACAAAAUGGUCCUUUUCCCACCCCUAUAUAAUGCCUAAACACGAAAUUAAGCCCUUAUUUCACCAAAACAUAUUCUUUCUCUCAAAAUCCUCUCAAGAACACAAGCUAGGGUUUUCAUAGAAGAUUUAAGUUCAAUCAAUUCUCUCCAUCAAUCUUUAUGUAAUCAAGAAAUAAGGUAUGCAUAGUGUACAUCCACGGAUCCCUUUCAUCCAUGGAGCUCAAGAACUAUGUUUUAAAUAAUAAAUUAUGAUCUUUAUGUUGUUGUGUGAUUAUGUUAAUGUUGAUGGUUAUUAAUUGUGUUUCAAGAUGGUAUCCAAAUGUGUUUCCAAGAAGUGUAUGGGCAUGAUAGUUUGAAACCCAUGAAUUUGGGUGGUUCAAGAUUUCUAAAUUUGUUAAUUACACCUAUGCUAAAUAUUGUGCAUGUAAGGUGUUUGAUAAAAUGCCUAGAAUUAUAAAAAUAAUGUAUUAUAACUUAGGGGUGAACUAUAUGAUAAAUUCAUGCUAGUCUAUUAUGUUCAAAGAGCUCACUUGUAAUUGUUGUGCAAUAUAUGUGUUAAUGGAAUGUACAUGAUGAUUGGGGAAUGGAUUCAUAGUGUGUUUAUAUGUCUUCCAUGCUAUGAAAAAGAUCAUGAUUUUGAAGUAUCACAUGAGUUAUCCCCAAAUUACUACAAUAUGAACUAAAUGUUACAUGUUUACCAUUCCCUUAUGCUUAAAUGGUUUCCAUGCCAUUGUUAUGAACAGUAUAUGUGUUGAAAUUCCCAUGAUAUUAGAAUAUGAGAUUUAUGAUUUAAUUUCAAGCAUUCCCAUUCAUGUUAGAUAUUAUGAUGACCAUGUACUUCAUGAAAUCCCACACUCAUGUAUUAUGGAUUAUUAUUGAUGGUCAUGUAUUCAAGAAAGUCACGUUGUGUCAGUUUCCUUCCAUCGAGUCCUGGGGGUACUUGUACCCAAAAAAUGUAGUUGUGUGCCUAGAUCCAUGUCAUGUUAUCACGAUACUCUCAGUCAAGCCAUGAUCUAUAGAAUUCAGUCAGUCAUGUGACUCAGAAAAACUCAGUAAUUUCAGUAAUCUCAAUAGUCCAGUAAUCUCAGUAACCUUAGAAACCUCAGUAAUCAUAGUUAAUCUUAGUAACUUCAGUACUCUCAACCAGUCCUCAGAACUUAGUAUAUUCUGUCAGUCAUCGAAAUCCAAUAAACUUAGUUUAGCUCCACUAAAUAAUACCACUAGUAUCAGUCCAAUUAAUCAGUAUCAGUUCAGCUAAUCAUUUCUAUUUAGUUAUUCAGUUUAGCAUAGUUAUUCAGUUCAUUGUCUUUCAAAUUGGAGUAGAAGUUAGCACCGAGUAAACCCAAGGAUGGGUACUCACCUACCAGUUUAGGGUAUGAUUCUUAGAAGUCAUCCUUGCUUUCCAGAAUUACGUAGCUAGCGUAGGUUGAGACAUCUUAACCUGUCAGAUUAGGGUUAAUAAGGUGGCUUAACCUAUCAGUUUAGGGUUGCCACCAUUCUCGUUUGAGUACCUACCAGAUAAGGGUUACUCUAAGCUGUCCUUACUAGUGGCGCAGUAUUAACACCCCUCCAGUUGGGGUAGAGACUGGACCUCAAUUAGCUAUAUGCAUUAUUGAGGCAUGUCGGUUAGAUAACUACUUCCCACAGUCUCAGUUUCUGUCCCAGUCUCAGUAAAAGAACUCAGAUAGUUCUUCAAAUUUCAGGAUUGUCAGAUACAGUCAACUCAGAAAUAGAACGGAACUCAGGUAGUUCUUUUAGAUUUAUGGACUGUUAGAUAUAGUCACUUAUGCUAUCAGUUAUAUCAGUUCACAAAACCCAUGUUAUCAGUCACAUCAGUUAUCAGAAUUUAUAAUAUCAGUAUUCAACAUCAGAACUAUCAGACACAGUCAACCAAACCAUUUUUUCAUAAUUAGAAUGAUCAUAUACGAUUAUUCAUGUAUCGAUAACAUAGUACUAGUCCCUCAGUAUUUAGUAAUACAGUAUCAGUUCCUCACUUAUUAGUGAUUUACAUACUCAAAUAUUCAGUUUCAGGACUGUUAGACACAGUUAAUCAGACUAGUUCUUUAUAAUUCGAACUAUCAGAAAUACUCAUUCAUCUAUUCAGUAUCUCAGUAUCAGUACACUCAUGUUGUCAGUAUUUAGAUGCAGUAGUCAGUAUCUACACGAGUUUAGUUACAAUUACGUAUGCAUGUUGGUAUUCUAACGUUCAUAUUAGUCAAUAUUAUUCAUGCAUAUAACCCUUUCCAUUUAGCCUACCUCACUCAUAUACUCAGUUCAUUCAGACGUACUAACGUAUUUGUGCUAUGAUGCUUUCUCUUAUGUUACACCAUAGGUUUAGAGGCAUGAGUUCCAAAUCAAUAGUAGAUUCCAGUAUCAGCAGUCAGAGUUAAAAAUGAGUCCUUAUAUUUCAAGGACAUAAUGAUUUCAUUACUAUUUCCGUUUUUAGUUUAUUUCAGUAGUUGGAGUUAGUUGGGGACAUAUCCCAUCAACUCCUUAUUUAGAUAGUUAGAGGCUUUCUAGACUAUAGCAUGUCAGACAGUUAUUUCAGAUUUGUUUUGGUAUUGUUAUACCAUUUUCAGACAUUGUUCUUAUCAGAUAUUUUUAUUUAUAUUUGAACCUUAUGGCCAUUCAGUACAUGUUUUUGCAUUUUCAUGUUAUAUUAUGCAGUUUAUAAGUAUAGAUAUUAGUCAUGGCUUAGAUUAUGGUCCUUUGGGGUCAUGAGCACCAUGUAGCAUUCCGAUUCCAAAAAUCGGGGUGUUACAAACUUGGUAUCAUAGCCUAAGGUUCAAUAGAGUCCUAGGAUAUCUGAAAGCCAAAUCUAGUAGAGUCUUGUACAUGCGCAUAUUGUGCACCACACUUAUAUGCAGGAGAUUUAGAUAUGCCAUCAGAUCCCUUCUCAAAAUCCUAUGAUAGUAUAUGACCCAGAGUUAGAAGCAUGAACCCAGGAGUUUAGCAGUAGACAAGUUGGGAUACGAUAUCCAGAUUGAAUAGAUUAUGUAUUUAUGAGGAUAGUUGUUCUAUAAUGAAUAAGUAGGCUUGAACAGUGUAAGUUAGAAAUUUAAGUUUAUUGACUUAAAAUUAAGAAUGAAGGUGUGAAUGUGAUAUUAGUAGUAUGUGAGGAAACAAAGGCAGAUGAUGUGUUUAGUAAGGCAGAGAUUAGUUUAGUGUUCACAGACUUAUGAUGAUGGCUUAAAGCUAAGAGAGAGAUGAUAGAUCAAGUAACCAAGUUAGGCUCUCAUAUUCCAGUAGUAGUGCCAGUAUGUACAGAAAAGUAAUUAGGGAAGGCGAUUCUCGACCCAUCCUUAUCUCAGCGUAAAGCUUCGUACUUCAGUUAGCAUAGUGCCUAUGCAUGCUUUAUGUCUCAAAUUCCAUGUAUAUAGAUUAUGUUCACACAUAUUCCAUAGAAUUGUGUGCGCUUUUAGUUCCUAAUAUAGGGAGUUCAGUUCCAGCUCACUCAGUGUUACGAAUUAUGUUCCAUGAACUCAGAAAUUCUAGACUCAGGUCAUGCAGCUCAUGACUCAUGUACACGUAUCAUGCUCCCCAAUAUACUCAGCUUCCAUGACUCAUGCUACGCCCCCACUGAUUAGAUAAAUUCAGAAUAUAUCAUGUAUAUACUCAGUUUAGACCUUUUUGGUAAAUCCAUGUUGUUGAUAUUCUAUUCCUCAGGUUUUAAUCAUGUGUCAAAUUCAGUCAGUAUCCACACAUGUUUUAAGUCCUCCUAAUGUAACCUCUUUAACGAGCUCUCUUUAUGAGAAUAGUGUAGUGUUGAAAAAUUGCUUAGAUGGGAGAGAGUUAAUGUUUCAUGUUAAAACUAAACUAUUGCAUUCAUGUUUUAUACGAGAGUAUAGUUACGAAGAUAGGCUUGAAUAUCCUGUUAGGAUGCAAGCAAAGGGCUAGCAAGAGAUAGUACUUAGAAAUUAGAAAAAAAAUUCAGAGUGUGAAUAUAUAUUCAGAUCCUUGACUUAUGUCAACCUUCGUGGUGCUACUAUCAUAACUCAGUUUCCCUCUCAGUUACAAUUUUAGUACUCAACACUCAAUAAUUAGUGCUCUCUCUUAGAAUUAAGCACUUCAGUAUCAGUCAAAACCUCAGUUUCAGUAUUCAAUUAUCGGGACCUAACAUUUAGUUUCAGUAUGGAUCCCAGUUACAGUCUUAAGUUAUAGUGUCAGCUUCAGAUCUGUAUUCAUCUCAAAAAUUUAGUUUAGUUUUAGACUUGCUUGACCAUAGCAUACAAUUAUCAGCUACUCAGUUAUAUAUAUUCCAAUACCUCAGUCUAUGGAAUGCUUCAAAAUCAUGCAAUACGUUUGGUCCUACAUUUUCAUACAAUAUAGCUUUCAUGAAAUCCAUGAUCAGUUACCUAUGUUACUCAGUCAGUCCCUUCUGAUAUGCAUAAUACUUUCUGGCCUCAUCCCAGCUACUUAGAUUAAGUACAAUUCAGUCUUGCAUACCCAAUAUUCAGUUACCAGUUACUUAGUUAAUCAGAUAAGUCACUAUGUCUAUGCAUUUGUGCAUCAUGCUUCAGUUUCAAAUCUCAGAUAAUCAUUCAUGAUUUCGUACCUAGGUGCCUUGUGCAUUGCCUCACCUUUCUCAGUAUCUAGCAAGGUUAGUCCAACAUCUUUUAUGGGACAUAGUGUCCUGAGGAGGAGAUACACUAUAGCCCCCAAACUUCCUUGAUUUAAACAUGUCAUUUUAUUUGAUGAAUCUAUCAUGGAGGAAGUGUUACUUAUAAGAUGACCCUUUAGCUUCAAAAAUCAGAAGUAAGCCUUGUACUCAAUGGAUCAGUGUAGCCACGAUAUGAUACUCUGUCCAUGUCACGUAUUACAGACUCAGUUCAGUUCAUGUAUUAUGUUCUAGAAUUAGUUAUGUUCUUAUAUUUUCGGUCAUGCAUAUUGAGUAAUCAAUCUCAGACUCAUCUGUAUUUUCAGUUCAUGGUAGCAGUCUUCUUUGAGCUUACUCAUUCUCAUGUUCAAAUUUCAGUACAAACUUGGUAUUCAGCUCCAUGCUCAGUUCCCAGUUCAAACUUGGUAUCUUUACCAUUGUAUAUUCAUUUGCAUGAUCAUGAGCCAGUUCAGUCAUAUAUUCGCACAUCUAAUAUGCGUGAUCAGCUUAUCAGUUCUCUCCCUCAUAUACUAAUGAAUCAGUUACGCAUGCAUCAGAUAUGUAUGUUCAGUAUGAUAUGUUCACCUUAUCAAUCAUGUCAGCCAUGAAAUCAUGAUUAGUAGUUCAUGCUCUAUAUUUACGUCAAUUGUCUUUUGACUUAUCUCAUCUAAUCUCAUUCGAGGAUAAAUGUUCCCAAGGGAGAAAUAUAGUAAUACCCCACAUUUUGGACUAGAAUGAAAAUCUGUCAUUCCUAUGUGUAGAUAUUUCAAAAGCUUCGAAUUCUAUGUAAAUUUAGUGUUUUAAUCAAUUAUGUAGUGUGGGAAUCUAUUUGAGCAUGAAUUUAGAUCAUAGAGGUUCCCUAACUCAAGUACAAGUUGAAAGUUUUCCUAUCGUUCAAGUUUUAGUGAGUGUCAAAACUUGGGUCAACUUCAAUCGAUCGUAACUCCUUGUAUAUAUUGAAUUAGAGGGCCUACUAUAUAUCAAAUGAAAUAUCUUUGAAUUAGCUUUUCAAAGAUACCAAUUUCGCCCAAAUCUGACACCCGAGCUAGAAGUUAUGACUUUGCAAAGUGGAGUACGUCGCCUAAUGUAAGGUGUGCGAUGCACAACCUAAAGUAUGCCAUAAGUUAUGCGACGCACCACCUAAUAUGUGCGAUAAGGUGUAAGACUUACACCCUAAUGUGUGUGAUAAAGUGUGCGCCGCACAUGUUGUAGUCCAGGUGACUUAAACAGUUCGUUUUUGGGGCAAAAUGGUCUUUUUCCCACCCCUAUGUAAUGCCUAAACAGAGAAUUAAGCCCUUAUUUCACCAAAACAUAUUCUUUAUCUCAAAAUCCUCUCAAGAACACAAGCUAGGGUUUUCAUAGAAGAUUUAAGUUCAAGCAAUUCUCUUCAUCAAUCUUUAUGUAAUUAAGAAAUAAGGUAUGUGUGGUGUUCAAACACGGAUCCCUUUCAUCCGUAGAGCUCAAGAACCAUGUUUUAAACAAUAAAUUGUGAUCUUUAUGUGGUUAUGUGAUUAUGUUCAUGUUGAUGGUUGUUAAUUGUGCUUCAAGAUGGUAUCUAAAUGUGUUUCCAAGAAGUGUAUGGGCAUGUUAAUUUGAAACCCAUGAAUUUGGGUGGUUCAAGAUUUCUAAAUUUGUUAAGUACACCUAUGCUAAAUAUUAUGCAUGUAAGGUGUUUCAUAAAAUGCCUAGAAUGAUAAAAAUCAUGUAUUAUAACUUAGGGGUGAACUAUAUGAUAAAUUCAUGCUAGUCUAUUAUGUUCAAAGAGUUCACUUGUCAUUGUUGUGCAAUAUAUGUGUUAAUGGAAUGUACAUGAUGAUUGGGGAAUGGAUUCAUAGGGUGUCUAUAUUCCUUCCAUGCUAUGAACGAGAUCAUGAUUCUUAAGUAUCACAUGAGUUAUCCCCAAAUUAUUACAAUAUAAACUAAAUGUUACAUGUUUACCAUUCCCUUAUGCUUAAAUGGUUUCCAUGCCAUUGUUAUGAAUAGUAUAUGUGUUGAAAUUCCCAUGAUAUUAGAAUAUGAGAUUUAUGAUUUGAUUUCAAGCAUUCCCAUUCAUGUUAGAUAUUAUGAUGACCAUGUACUUCAUGAAAUCCCUCACUCAUGUAUUAUGGAUUAUUAUUGAUGGUCAUGUAUUCAAGAAAGUCACGUUGUGUCAGUUUCCUUCCAUCGAGUCCUGGGGGUACUUGUACCCAAAAAAUGUAGUUGUGUGCCUAGAGCCAUAUCAUGUUAUCACGAUACUCUUAAUCAAGCCAUGAUCUAUAGAAUUCAGUCAGUUAUGUGACUCAAAAAAACCCAGUAAUUUCAGUAAUCUUAAUAGUCCAGUAAUCUCAGUAAUCUCAUUGCUCAAUAACCUCAGGAACCUCAGUAUUCACAGUUAAUCUUAGUAAUUUUAGUACUCUUAACCAGUCCUCAGAACUCAGUACAUUUCGUCAGUCAUCAAAAUCCAAUAAACUUAGUUUAGUUCCACUAAACAAUACCACUAGUAUCAGUCCAGCUAAUCAGUAUCAGUUCAGUUAAUUAGUUUUUUUCAGUUAUUCAGUUCAGCGUAGUUAUUCAGUUUAGUGUCCUUCAGAUGGGAGUAAAAGUUAGCACCGAGUGAACCCAAGGAUGGGAACUCACCUACCAUUUCAAGGUGUAAUUCUUAGCAGUCAGAUUAGGGUUAAUGAGAUGGCUUAACCUGUCAGAUAAGGGUCACUCACAGCUGGUCUUACCAGUAGCACGGUAUUGACACCCCUCCAGUUGGGGGAAAGACGGGACCCCAACUUAGCUAUAUGCAUUAUUGGGGCAUGUCGGUUUGACAACUACUUCCCACAGUCUCAGUUUCAGUCCCAGUCUUAGUAAAAGAACUUAGAUAGUCUUCAGAUUUUAGGAAUGUUAGAUACAGUCAACUCAGAAAUAGAACAGAACUCAGAUAGUUCCUUCAAAUUUAUGGACUGUCAGAUACAGUCACUUAUGCUAUUAUUUAUAUCAGUUCUUAGAACCCAUGUUAUCAGUCACACCAGUUAUCAGAAUUCAUAAUAUCAAUAUUCAGCUUUAGGACUGUCAGACACAGUCAACCAGACCAGUUCUUCAUAAUCAGAACUGUCAUAUACAGUUAUUCAUGUAUCAGUAACAUAGUACUAGUCCCUCAUAAUUUAGUAAUACAGUAUCAUUUCCUCACUUAAUUGUGAUUUACAUACUCAGUAUUUAGUUUUAGGAUUGUUAGACACAAUCAAUCAGGCCAGUUCUUCAUAUGAACUGUCAAAAAUAGUCAUUCAUCUAUUCAGUAUCUCAGUAUCAAUACACUCAUGUUGUCAGUAUUCAGACAUAGUAGUCAGUAUCUCUACGAGUUCAUGCUCAUAUUUUUUGGUUCAUGCUCAUAUUUUUUUGUUAAGUUUGGGGAAAGGUUCAAGUUUUUUGUGGCAGUGCAAAUAUCCAAUAGUGAUUGGAAUGGUUUUAAUGGUGCAAUGGACUUGUUAAAAGGCCUUUAAAGCCUCGCGCUACGACAAACAAUGAUGGAUCUAAUAGAAAUUUUCUUGGUCCAAAUUUAUAUGGAUGGAUUAUUGGAGGAGACAAUUAUACAACAGAAGGUGUUUGGGAGAAAACCUAUGCGGGAAAGGGAGGUUGAGAAGGCCAUAUAUCAUCUUAGUUAUUGUUUAAGAGGAUACAAAGGGUCGAAAGGAAAGUGUAGCAAAAUUAGCUUAUGAAAUUGACAUAAAAAAUGAAAAAACUGGAUGAGAUGUGAAUGUGAAAGUGUAUCCAAAAAUGAAAAUCUAUCAGUCGUUGAAGAAGAAGAAUGGCCAAGAGGAAUUGAGUUGGUCAUUGAGGCCACGCUCACUACUUGCAUUCUCGAUCAAAGUGUCCAUCUCCAGUCCUGUUGACCAUUCUUUUUUUUUCAUCGACUGACGAAUUUUUAUAUUUUGAUGCACUUCCACAUUUGAAGCUCAUCCAGUUUUUUUAUUUCUCAUGUGAAUUUCAUUGGCCAAUUUUGCUACAUUUUCCUUCCUACCCUAUGUUUCCUCUUAAACAAGGUCUGAAAUGAUAUAUGGCCUUCUCCACCUCCCCCUUCGUGCAUAGGUAUUCUCCCAAGCACCUUCUGUUGUAAAAAAGUCUUUUCCAACAAUCCAUCCAUAUAAAUUUGGACCAAGGGAAUUUUUAUUGGUUCUAUCAUCGUAUGCUGCAUUGCAAGGCUUCAGAGGCCUUUCAAGAGGUCCAUUGUGCCAUUAAAAUCAGUCCAAUCACUAUUGGAUAUUUACACUACCGCCAAAAAUUUGAACCCUUCCCCAAACUUGACAUAAAAAUAUGUGCAUGAAUGAAUCGUCAUUAAAUCGUAACAGGGUAUCGACACCACCAUCUUGGAACACUUCAGCCUUAUCAGUUCGCACCUAUCAAACUAAACUGUAUAAUGUAGGAUCUUGUUUGAAAGAUCAGUGUCUAAUCGGUAAAAAACUGCAUUCACAAAAUCAUUGCACUUUAUAUGUGUCUUCACGGUAGCUUGAUCAAUAAUAUACAUAACUCGCAUGCAUGAAAAUGGGAUCCAUUACAUGCAUUUUAUUCUUUCUACUCCAUCAGGACAUAUCAAACAGUGUUGUUUAUUCAUCUGCACGAAUGUGAUGACUACUAUUAAAAUAGAGGUGUGAAGAGUCAUGACUUUUUAUCUUAACACAUUCAAAACAGCUGAUGAAUCGAAAUCUCCAUAUGUUGCAACUGAUAAAUCAACUAUUGGAAGAAAUCAAAAUAUCUCCUCCAACAUAUGGCUCAUCUGUCACAACAUAUAAUCUAUAUGUUGCAACAAAUGGUAAAUCUAUUGCGAUUGACCAGACUUUUUUUCUUUUUAUUCAUCUGCACGCGUGUGAUUACUUCUUGCUAAAAAUGUUUGAUUCUAUUUAGUUUUCCUAUUUAUAAAAUCAAGGGAAUUUUAUUAGAUUCUUCCAAGAUUACCCCUAUUAUUAAAUGACUACAUAAAGUAUAUUAUUCACAUUUAUACAUUCAAAUCAUAAUUAAUAAGGCCGAUUGGGUAAAAUAAUCACCUAAUUUAUAUUUAUUUUAGUUGGUGUGCUGGUGUGCCAAGCCCAUAGGACCCAACUAAUAAGUAACGGAGGGACUAUUAAAAAGAGGUAAAGACUUUUUAUCUAACACUCUCAAAACAGGUAAUGAACCGAAUACUCCAUCUGUUGAAAUUAAAACUGAUGAAUCAGCUGUUAAAAGAUAUCAUAGCAUCUCUUCCAACUUAUACUGUCCAUCUGUCGUAACAUAUAAUAAAUAAGUUGCAUUAGAUGUCUUAUUUGUUGCAUUUACAAACCAUCUAUUGUAACAGAUGGUAAAUCUGUUUUAACACCAGUCUGCUGCACAUUCAAUCCAUCUAUUCUAACAGAUGCUAAAUCUUUUAAAAAUACUGGACGAUCUGUUGCAACAGCUCAAUAAUAAUGGCUUUUAUCGAGUCUCAAACCGCUAUGAAAAGGUAAGAAAUAAUUAGCGUAAAAUAAAAAGUCGUGACUUUUCACAGAAAAUAAAAUGCCACCAGUUUGAAUGUAAUUAAUACAAUGGUGCUGCACAGUCCUGCCUUUUUGGCCUGACACGUCCAGAUUAUAGGUCCCUCCUUAAUCUUCAUUCAACUCUAUUUAUUUCUUGCAUUUUUUUCUUUCGUAUGACACUUGCAACCACUUCUCUUCAAAGAGCACAUUCCUUUCUCGUUGGGGUAAGUUUUUUUCUGAUGUAAAUUUACCAUUCGGUCGUAUACAUUAUAUUAUAUUUUGAACUUUUUUCUUUACAUUUGCCAAUUCAUGUGUGUUCUAGACAUGGAUGACCCUUUUUCGAACAUUACUAUUCUACGCGACAUAGUGCGGGAACUUCAAAGGCAGGUUAAUGACCUAUAGAGCGAGUUGGUCGCUAUGAGAGUGACGAUGUUUAGAGAGAUGCACAGACUGCUGUGAGUUAAUUGGCCGGCUGUCAUUAAUGAUGAUGAUGAUGAUAAUAAUAAUUAGAAUGUGUUUUUUCUUUUAGCGUAUGUAUUUAAAUUUUUCUAUAUCGGAUCUAUACCUAAUGUAUUUUAUUUUUUAUUUAAUGAAAAAUUUAUUUUUAGUCAAACUAUGACUUUGGCUUUUUAAUUCUUAUUCAAUUUUCAUUCUGUCUAUUUCUUCUAAUCUAAUACAUGCUAACAUAUCGACGGUUGGAGGCAAUGUUGAAUCCAGUAGGACUAGUAAUUUUGGCUUUUGAGUUCUUUCAACAAAUGGACCAUGUGUUGGAACUGAUUGGUCAUCUGUUGGGUUUCAACAGAUAAUCCAUCUGUUUCGACAGAUUUGUCAUCUGUUGGAGGAAAGCAUUCCAGUAGUUUGUGCAACUGUUGAGAAUAAUUGUGGUCUGCUGUAUUAUUUAGUUCAUGUUUUGCCUUUUUUUGUUGAUGCACAAGUUAUUUAAAAAAAACACUUUAUAUAUAAUAAAUGAUAACAUUAGGUUCACAACAAUGAGUUAAAUAUAUAAAAGUCCACAACAAACAAACAAACACAACACAAGUUUCUGCAAUUACAACGAUCAUGGUGGAUUAUGAUUCGGACAUGUAGUUCUUUUGUGGCCAGUGCACUUACAUAUGGAGCACUUGUUUCUUCUUGAUAAAAAUGAUUCUCCAACUCCAUGCCUCCUUUUGUAUGGCUUUCUUCCUGAUUUGAUAGUGCUCAGGUCAAUAUAUGGAGGAGGUAUUAAUCUUCCCAUAAGCUCUACUGGAAUAACUCAAGAUUUUUCGGGAGACACCGGAGUAAUAUGCCCACUGUAUGCCAUUUCAUAUUUUUCCACCGAAUAAUAUUGAAAGGAGUGCUCGUAAACUUCAGGUCUAUAUUUAUGUCCGUAUUGAGCUCGAAGGGCUGCCAUAUCAUAUGGACAAUGUAUUUUGUCCAAGUCAAAAACUCUACACGUACAAGAUCUAGUUUGAAGAUCGACCGUGGCAACAUCACCAUGAUCGGUGGUACAGAAUUUAUAAUUUGCUAUUUUAUGAGAGAAUAACCUAUUCCCCAAACUGAUGUUCGUUGAUAUUUUCUUUUCGAUUUCGAGAACAAAUCGGGUUCUUUUUUCUGGGCACUUGAACUGCACAUGCCUUUUGUUAAAAAAAUUGCUAUACUUCUUGCUUAUUUUUUCAAACAUAGCCUUGAUGGGAAAUUCUCUUUCAUCGCCAAACAAUGAAUUCACCAAUUCAUCUAUGUUUGAUGUCAUAAUAUUGUACCUAUAGAAAAGAAUCACUUAGUACGACAUCAAACUAAACUUGUAAAUCAAACAAGACAUUAAAUUCAUAAGAAUGUACCUAUUUGCUGGACAAAAUGUCUGGCUCCAUCUCUCGAAACCGACACGUGCAAGAAUUUUUUCUACCUUGGGAUUCACAUAUGCUAUUUGAUUGAAAUGGUCUAAAACUUCCUCUCUACUAUAUGCUUUAGAUGCUCUAUAAAAAAAGGUGACAACCCUUUCAUUGUUAUAGUUGUUUCGAAUGUUCUCUCCAAGAUGCCUGAUGCAACAACCAAAGUAAGCUGAAGUGAAUAAAAGUGAACUGAUCUUUGGAAUACUUGGAUGCCUAUCCGAUACAAAAUACAACUUUUUGGUAUCUUUAACGCAGCUUCGUAGUUGUUCAAAAAAAUCCAUAAGAGGCAUCACAUUCCUUGUCCGCUACACAAAAAGUGACAGGAAAGAUGUGAUUCUCUGCAUCCUUUGCCACUGCCGCUAGCAGAACUCCAUUAUACCUACUCCUCAAGAAGGUACCAUCAACGACUAUGACUUUUUCUAUGACUUUUCUCAAAUGUCAAAAAUCUUGAAUCCAAGCACCAUAGGAUACAAAAAAGUACUUGAACCUUCCAUUUUCAUCCAGUUGCAAUGCCGUCUUACUUCCGGGAUUUGUGGACUCAAGCAUGUAAUGGUAAGCAUCCAAGACUUCAUACCCAUGCUCAAGUGUCCCCCUAACCAGGUCCUUGGCAAUCCCCAUGGCCGUAUAUACCUUCCAAUAACUGAUCAGGACACCCAAAUCUGUAAGGAGUUGAUUGGUCAUAAGCCUUGUUGAAGGGCCUAUGCCAUUGGGGAAACUACGCCUGAAAUAUUCACUGAGGAUCUUUGCUGUGGCAUGAGGAUUUUUGCUCGAGAUGUGCUCCGAGCCACAUGUGUGAUGCUUUUCAUGUUUAUGAAUGACGAAUCUAUCAGAACUUGCGUACUUCACCGCUCUCAACCACCACUUGCAAUUCGAAUUAACAUAUUUAAAGCAAAAGACACUGCUCAAAUUAUUAACCUUCUUUAUUCUGAAAUCUUUUUUCAAGCAUGAAAUAAACAAAGUGUUGGAUAGUUCAUUCUUGUCCUUGAAUGGCAUUCCAAUAAAAAAGCCGGUCCCGUCGUUUUGAAGAUUUUUAGAUUGUAUCAAUUGAGAAGAACUGCACAUCGUAUUGGUCGUAUCAACUGGCGUAGGUGUUUGAUCAACAUCUGAAAUAUUCAUGUCUAGAUCAUCCAACCUAUCAUCAAAGAAUUCUUUUUCUUCUUCUUCUUCUUCUUCUUCUUCUUCUUCUUCUUCUUAUACGUUCUGGUUCUUAUUCUCUCUCGUCUUUUCAACUAUGUAAACCCUUAACACCGUCCUGGUUGAAUCACUUAGAUAAGCACGCAACCGAAUCUGAUCAGUUAUCUUGAAAGACAGUACCCUCUAAUUUUCAAAGAAGCUGUGCAUAUAGCUGAUGGCGAAUUCUUUCGGUUGAUAAUUCAGUUAACAAAAGUUGAUGUUUAAGUUCACAAAAUCAUCAUAUGAAACAUUACUUUGGACCGUCAUAGCUAUCGUCUCUAGCAUUUCACCCUCCUUCUAAUGCCAUACACAUCGGUUGCUCUUCUCGACCCAUUGUCCAUGAAAAUCCACCCCUAUUAUUAUUAAUCCCUCCAUUAGUGGUGCCUAAAUAAAGUCAUUUGUUAACAAAAGUUGAUAGUGAUUUCAUAGUGUCGUGAAUGAAUCCCAAUAGAUGUGUUAUAUGUUGCAACAGGUAAGUGAUGAGUCGCAACAGAUUUUACCUAUUGGGAUUUAUGUUACGAUCCUGAAUAUCUGUUGCAACAGAUGAAGUGCCUGUUGGAAUUGAUGUUAUAUCUAAAUCACCUUUGUAGUUGAUUCCAACAGAUGAGUGACAGUUGCAACAGAUAAUUAACCUGUUGUGACAGAUGACUUACCUGUUGCAACAGGUUAUUAAUCUGUUGUAACCUAUGUUGGAAUUGUGUUCAGGUUCUGUUGCAACAGAUAUGUCAAAUGUUGCAAUAGAUAACCCAUUUGUUUAAACAUUAAUCCAAUAUAUCAGUCUUCCAUUGAAAUAGAUGUCCCAUCUGUCGCAACAGAUGAUUUAUCUGUUUAAACAGAUGGAUCUUAUGUUAGAUUCAUGAUUGGGUUCUAUCCAUUGUUGGAAAACAACAACACAAUAGCAGUUACCCAGAUGAAAAAUUCAACUAAAAAUCAUAAUUUGACUUACCAACAUCUCCUAUGAAGUAAUGCCAAAGUGGAAAGUGAUGUUAGAAAUAAAAUUUGACCUAAGAAANNNNNNNNNNNNNGUCAAAUAGCAACAGUAGCGGUAACAACAACAACAACAAAUGGUCAACAAGAACAAGAUGAAGAUGAUAAUGAAGUAGAAAAUGAUGAUAAUGAAGCAGAAGAUGAUGAAUGAAGCAGCAGCAACCAUGAAUAACAAAAAUCGCUAGAGAGAGAAAACAACAAUGGGUGAGAAGAGAGAGAAAGAUGCAUUUUUUCUCUUUUUUUCCUUUAUAUAGGCUAACAUUUGGAUCAAAGUGUAAAUUUAAAAACUUGUGGAUUAUUUUUAAACUUUCCCAACUUUCUUAAUCCAUAAUAAAGUAAUUGUCACCUCCAUCUAAUAAUUAAGACUUGUGUCACCUACACCUCAUUUUAAAACUCUUUUGUCACCUGUGGCCCAAACCUCCAACUUACAAAACAUGUUGCUAUAAAAGUUAUGGGACCAGACUAAAUUAGACCUUCUUAAAUUUUUAUUUAAUGUUUGAUAUUCGUUUUAAAAUGCCAACAAUAAUAACAGUAAUAUAUUAGGUAUAGCUUUACAAGUUAUUUUUAAUAGAUCUUAAAUUCAAGAAAAAAUAAUCUAAUUUGAAAUGCUUUAGAAUUUAGAAUAAUUCAAAUUUAUGAUGCAUAAAGUUUAAUUAAUUAUAUUAGGAAGGAAGAGCUCGCUAUUUGAUUUUUUCUAUUAUCAAAGUUCAAAUCCGAAAUUUCUAAUUCAAAAAGAAGAAAUACUAUUCAUUCCGCACCAUAACCUUUAGUGGUGACUACAUUAACACUUUAGUUAUCUAGGAAGUUAGUGAUGGACUAGUUUCUGGUGAUAUUGUUCUAUAUGGUAUAGAGUCGGAUUUAAUUUAAUAACUUAGCUUAUUAAAUGACUUCUCUCAUAAAAAUAGAAAAAACGUACUAAUCUCAUACAAGUAGCAUUUAAACUCAUUUCCUUCUCUCUAUCUCUCCACCCUUAACGCCUUCAACCUCUACCUUGUGAUCAGCCGAUCCCCUGCCGCUGCUGACCUCCUACUCCUCACUCCACUGUACCCCACCUCCAUAUGUUUUUUUAAGAUUACGUAUAAAUAUCCUUCUGAAGAUAUUUUUGCUACUUAUCAGACAUCAGAAAAUAAUAUUGAUAAUAUUUCAACACAUACAAACACACCUAAUAUUCUCGAACCCCCACCCAUCCCAACAAGCACUAGUAGUUUAAGUAAUAUUUGCGAACAUUAUUUUUCAAUAUAUCAAAUAUGUUUGUUAUGUUUAUGUAAAGUUUGAUAGUAAUACAUUAAAAAUAUUUAACUGAUAUAAGUUAUUCAUUUUAAAUAAAAAAAAUAUGUAAAGAAUGAAUGAACUUUGUAUUUAAUUAAAUGCAAAAUGAUUCAAAAAUUAUAAGUUACAGGAUUACAAUUAAAUCACUACAAAAAAAAAUCGGGUUUAGCAACGAAUUUGUAGCAACAAGCACUUUUUCGUCGCUAAUUAAGGACGGAAUUGCAACAAAAUAGGUUUUUUAUCGCUAAAUAAUUGAAAAUAAAAUUAGUAGCCUAAUUAGAGAUAGAUUAGCGACAAAAAGUAAAAUCUGUUGCUAUAUUUUGGCGGUAAAUAUUGGCUCCUUUAUUUUGAUGACAAAAUUAGCGACAUAAAAAGGGAGAAAUCUUUUUUGACAUGGUAGAGACGGAAAUAGCAACGAAAUUUUUGUCACUAAAAUUAUUUUAUCAUUUUUUAAAAAUAUAUUAUUGUUUUUAAAUAAUUAGCAACGGAUUUUGCAUCCGUUGCUGAAUCCUUCACCCUACUAAAUAAAUAUUAGGGUAAAGUCUUUUAUUUCACUUUGUUCCCAACACAUUGUAUCCUCCGCCUCUCUCCAAAAACAGCCUCUCCUUUUCCUUUUCUCUCCAUUGUCUCUCAAUUGAGAAUAGAAAAUCGCUCAAUAUUAAUCAAAAAGGGAAUUAAUCACUCAAUUUUCAAUCUAAAUUAGAGGUACGAUUCUAAAUCUCAUAAUGUGAGUUGUUUUUUCCUCUUUCAAUUUCUUAAUUUCUAUGUUAGAUUUCACUUGUAAAUAAUAGGUUUGGGGUUGUUUGAGCUCUUUCACUUAGGGUUGUUCGAUUAUUGUGUUAAAAAGUUCAAUAAAUGGUUAUUUACUUGAAAUGAGAAUCGGAUUUUUUCUCAGAAUUUCUGUUUGUGGUUUUUUUAAAUUGAAAUGGUAGGUGUUAUUGGGGGAGCUGUACUACUUGUGGUGUUUUUGGCAGUUGUCCUUCUCUUCUUUUGUAGAUGAUCACAACAUACAUACACGUCAUGAUGUGGAUCGGUACAUGUUUCCCAAAGUUGUGCAAGAUAAUGCACAACCCAAUAUUUCUUAUGAGCUCCUGGAAAAUGCUAGUAAGUUGUAGUUUGACUUCAUUUUCAAUGUCAACUCUAAAUGGGCAGAUUUUCUGCAGAAAAGUUUCUAAGCCAAUUACUUAAGUUUUCAGCGAAUUUGAUUAGAGUUUCUUAAUCAUUUCUCAGCACUUGGAACACAAGGUGACCGAUCAUAUUGGGUGUUCUCCAUGGAAGAGUUGGAAGAAGUGACAAAAAAAAUUGAUAAAUCAGCAUUGCUCGGUGAAGGAUCAAUUGGAAAAGUACUGCUCUGAAACUGUUAGUACUCCCAAAUUAAUUUAAGAAGAGGGCUUAGUUUAUUAUUUUCUUGCAUAUAUCUAUUCAAAAUUCAUGUUAUAUCUUGUUGGAGGAUAAACUUUUUGUUGUUAAUUUUGUUAUCAUCCAUGUGGUGCCAUAGUAUUCCCAGAGGUCUUGAUCUCCGUGAGUAACUAACUCAAUCAAAUUAAUUUUUCAGGUAGUUUUCAUUAAAUAACUCAAAUCAGAAAAUUAAAUAGAUGCACAACUCGCUAAGAUAAGUAGUUGAUUAAAUAAUUUUUUUGCCUUUAUUAUGUAUUGUCUAUGUGCAUAAGUGCUAUAUGCAUCUCGACUUUGCAUUUUGAUACCAUAUAAUGCUGAUUACAAUUAAGAGUAAUGCAUAUUUUGAUUUGUUAUCUAUUGAACUUUGACAAUUAAUAUCACUAAAGCGAGUCACUUAAGUCGCUUACUUAAAGUGCAUAUGCAAUGAGUUGACAUCUUUUCAAGCCUUCUGUCCCAGGCCUUAUUCUUUUUUCGGCUCAAAGUUGGACUAUUUGGUUUAGCUAACAACUUGUAUGACAUAUCUUUCCAUAUCAGAUUUACAAGGGAAAAUUAGAGAAUGGAACCUAUGUUGUUGUAAGAGAAUUGACUGUUUAUAGAUGAUGCACUAGUUGAAAAUUCAAACUUCAAAUGAAUUUGCUUUCAAAUUUUUGCCAUCAACAUUUAGUUAGCCUUAUGGGUCCUACCCUCCCCAUUCCCCACUUGUAGAUUAUGUGCUGCAUAAAUCAAGACUAAUAAACCAGAAAACAAAACCUAUUUUUUUCUAUUUAUAUUUAGAUGCUCAUUCAGGUUGGUCUAAUUAGCUAUGAUUGUUGAUGUGGCUGUCUGGAAGUAAGCUGGCACAUGAAACCUAAGUAGAAAUAUUGGUGCACUUUUAAAGAUGGAGUACUGUUGGUAUUGGUUGUCCUGAUUCCUACAGAGUUCUGGGGCUGGGCUGGAUAAAUUCUCUGAACUAAUGCAUGAGUCAGUGCAGUAGCAAUUGUAAGGGAUGCCUUGUCCUAUGCUUAGACUGAAUCUUAAAUAUAGAGAAGCAGUAGCAGGAACAUGGAGAAAAGCCUCAAAGGUAUGAUGCCAAUUGAUCAACAAGUUUACCUGAUUCAGGUUUGAAACCACUUGAUUUUAGAUGAUUUAAUAAAUACUCUUAUCUUUAGAUUUGAGGAGAUUUUCAUCUUGUAAAUUCAAGUUGUAUAUGUUUUGAUCUAAUAUCUUCAUCAUGUUGUGGAGCCUACCUGGAACUUUGUCCAUUCUAUUUGAUAAUUUCCUAAAAACUAAGUUUCAUGAGAACUUUUGUCCACCAGCAAUGUAAUUUAUUAUAUAAGGGGUGUGCGUGUGUGUGUAUAUAAAUAUAAUUUUAUUCUUGAGCCGGGGGUCUAUCGAAAACGGCCUCUCUACUUCUUCGGAGGUAGUGGGAUGGACUGAGUAUAUUUUACCUUCCCCAGACCCCACUAUGUGAGAAUACGUUGGGUUUGUUGUUGUUGUUGUAUUUAGAUGCUCACUAAGAUUUCCUCUCUAUACAUGCUUAGAACCAAUUCUUUGGAGAGUUGUUAGUGAAGAGAUAAAACGAGCAUUGACUAAAUUUACCCCUGCCAGAAUUGCUAAAAAGUAAAGCAAUGAACCAUUUUAUAUUUUUAUCUAAGUCAUGGUUUUCUGAUGAAUAUUAUUUGGAAAAGGUUUUGCAUUUUUAUUUUUCUAGAUAAAACAUUUCUACCUUUUUAAAUUUUAAAAAAUCAGAAUAGCCAAAUAGACACUAUGUAGUUGCACUAGAUUGUGUUCCCAACCCGAACUUCACUAGAUUUUAUUUAGGCAACUACGUGCUCAAAACUAGUUCAAACACUUUUUACCACCUUGUAUGAUCAAGUUAAAUGACUUAUUGAUCCUGAUCGUAAGUUUGUCUGACACUAUGCACUCAAUUCAAAAAUCAUUGUGAUCUCCUCUUGUGUUUAUAUUGCUUGUCUUUUACUGGUUUGUUUGUCGUCAAUAAGUUUCUUUUUUGGUUCAUCUUAUCAACCUAUUAAAUAUUCUAACCAGUGCUUUCUAGGUAUUAAUAGAAAUAGCUAUUUAUCAAAUAGAGCCAAUCAUUUUCCCAAUUGUACUCUAGUUUAAUUUUCCAAAUUUGUAUUUUCAUUGGCAUCUAUUGUGUUGCUUUAGCAGAUAAAUGGUUGCGGUUGUUCCAAUCCUGAGAAUCUUACCAAGAGGUUGUUUUAUUUGGGAGAAUUAUCAGGCUUGUAUUCAGUAAUUUCUCUGGAAAUAGACUCUUCUCUAAGUACAGCCAAUGUAACUUUCUCUCUCCUUAUGUUCCUUCCACCUCUUUAUCUGAUUCUGAAGUCCAACUUCACUCUUUUCAGUUGCCUCAGUUUUUUUAUUGCCUGCUUAGCUCUCGUCCUCAACUCGCUAUUUUUCAAUGUUGUUGUUUUCAGUUCUUUCUUCAGUACUUGAGUUUCAUUUGGUUUUGCAUGCACUUCAGAUUCUCAUACUACUCCCUUAGGCUUUGAUGGGUAGAAUGUAAUAAUAGUUGGACAUAAUAUUGCAGUAGGUGUUUGGAAUUAGGUGCAUUUGUCUCAUGAUUUUUUUAUUGCUGAAUUUGGUCAUCUUUUCCUUGAAAUUCAUGUAACUUCCCACUCUUUAUUCAUCCAUUAAAUCUUGUAAGUUAUAUCGUCCACUCUUGAAGGUAAGGUAAUUGAGAGUGGGAGAGCACCUCCUCAAGCUUUAAUCUCACCUCGUCAAAUUCUAAUUCCAGGUUCUAGUAAAAAGUGCAUUUAGUAUAUUUUUUCUGAACGUAUACAGUUAUAUUAAGUCAUUUGAAAUACAAUUCUCUCUUAGGGACAGUUUUGGUUUACAUUUUAACUUGAUAUCAACUCAAUUGUUUUCUAUGGCAUGGUAACUUCGAAAGUAAAUGUUUUCUCUCUUCAACAACAAAAGAAGUGUUUCUUUUAGAAUUCCCCAUAUGUGUCUUCUGCAUUAAUGUACUAGGCUAAUUGUCUAUUAGAAGCUGAAUAUAUAUGUUAUUUGUUGGUGAUCCUGAGGUUAUAGGAGUAACAACAAUGAAUAUUGUUCCAUUACCAAUAGCGAGCCUGUACAAUUUUCAGCCCCUACCUUUUGUUGUAAUUUUUUGCCUUCUUGGUAUCUUUGAAAUACAAGAACUUCAAGUAAAAGCACUUUCGAAAAUUGGUCACGUCUUGGAAGAAAAGUUGAACAGGAGACAAAUAACAACUUGUGGGCAGCUGGGUUUUCAUUGUUUAUUAUUUAUUUAUUUGUUUCUGCAAUAUGUUCGUGAUUGCCCUCACGGUUUUGAUUUUCUAUUUAUUUAUAGUUUGUAUACAACAAACACUAUUUUGCAUUUUUUUCUUCAAGGGGAUGUCAUGAAUCAUUGAAUUUCUUGCUGCAGAGAUCUUCUUUUUCAUUUUAUGUUUGUUACUAUAAGGAAGUUACUGCAAAUUGUAUUAAGUGGUGUGGUUGUUAUAUAUGUAAGAGUUUGUGAGCAGAGUUUCUCCCAAGUCGGUGGGUGGCCUAGCAGUUAACAACCGGAGUGACGUAUGGGCAUGGAGGGUAUAGUAUUUUUGGUAUAGUAUUUUCGGUGAUAACCUUGUGCUCUAUGUUUUUUAACUGAAGAAAUUUAUGUUUUCCUUCCUGGUUUUAAUUGCAUUGUUCCACUUGUAGGUGCCGAUGGCUACAGACAGCAUUGAUGUGCUUGAGAGAAUCGUUUCACAGCUCUUUACUACUUCACAUGUGGGCAAUUACUUGUUACACCUUUUUAAAGGAUUCUAAGUCCGCAACCAAGGGUGUGGCCUAGUGGUUAAUGAAUUGGCCUGGUUUAAUAGUGGUGGUGAUGGUUACCUUGUUUAUGAUAUUGAUUUCUGAUGGCUAUAAUAGGAGCAACAGUUUAAUGAAGAGAAAAUUCAAGUGGUCUCUUAUCCUAAUAAGUUUUUUUGCUGAUAUGAAAAGUGAGCCACUGUCUGAUGCUAGUGUACCAAAUAUGGACGUGGUUAUUAAUGCUCCGAUCUCAGGAGGCAUCAGUCUAAUGCCCUCUUCUCUUAGUCAAGUAGACACCUCUGUUUUUCAACAAUUGCCAAGGAUUUUCUCGCAAAGUUGAAAUAGUAAGUCUUUUACGCUUGGCAAUAUGUUGAAUCCAGAAAACGAUUUACGGUCAAAAGAUGUGGUAAACUAGCUAAAAUAUAUUUGAACAGGAAGCUACUAAAUAUUUGCAGUUUAAGGUUUCUUGAUCAUCUUAGUUGAUUCAUAGGCCAAGUCGCCAAAGUUGCUAAAGUAGUGAUAAAUCAUGUUAAUAAAACAGGUUCUAUAGAAAAUCCAUCCAUAAAAAAUGAUGUCACAAUGACAGUCCAAAAUAUUUCUGAUUUGAACUAAAAGGGAAGUGUUUCUGCUAAUUUCUACUUCUGUCAUGUUCUUUGUUGCAGUGAGUUGUUGUGCAAUAGCAAGAUUGCUAUUGUCCAACUUGGUUUGUGCAUUCUAACCUUAAUAGAAUUGCGGUGCAGGUUGCUAGAUACUCCUAAUGAACAACUGGCCUGGGGUGAGCAAAUUAGUUAACUGGAACGAAUACCCCCAAUGGAAAUCACAACUACUCUCAACUGUUGUACCUGGUCUAGCUAAAGAUGGACAUAAUUAUGUGUUUAGAUGUUGCUAUGUUUGGUAUUGUGAAUGUUUAGAUUUUGCAAUCUAUCUAUGUGGGUUCUUUUAUAUGAAUGUUGGAUAUUUUAAGAAGACCUAUCUAUAUAUGUGGGUUCUUUUGUAUGAAUGUUGGAUAUUUUAAGAAUUUUAUAAUAUGCUUUUAAUAUGAUUCACGAUGGUGUAUGUAAAAUACAAACAAAAAAGUUAUUGGAAGAAAAGUAAUGACGAUAGAUUUAGCGACAAAUUUAAUCAUUGCCAAAGAAAAACAUUUGCAACAUAUUGAGAAAAAUAUUUUUUUUGUCACAAAAAUUAAGAAUUUUUAGCAACGGACUGGCAAUGAAAUAUUCAAAACGACGAAAAACAACAUGAAAUUAGUAACAACAUUUAUAAAUAUAACAACGAAUAUAUUCAUUGCUAAAAAAUAGCAACGGAUAUAAAGCGUCUCUUUUUCGUUGCAAAUCUAGCAACGGAUUUUAUUUUUUUCAUUGCUAAAUGAUUAGCAACGCGCAAUAUAGCAACGACUAGUAUUCCGUCGCUGAUCCAUCUCUAAAUGGCUUUAGCGAUGGAUUUAUGUUGAUUAGCAACGUUAUCGAUCUCUUGCUAAACGCGAUUUUUUUAGUAGUGAAUCACAUUAAUCUCACAAAGUUAAAUACUUAAAUUGAAAUAUAAAAAAAUUAAUAGAUUAAAUGAUUAAUUGACAAUUCUACAAAGUUUACAUCACUUUUUCAAUUCAUUCAUGUUAAUAUUAACAAGCACUACUAAAAAAAUAGUUUUUGCAACUAUAAAAUUGCGACCACUGUUGGUGAUCGCAAAAAAAGCGACCACUUGUAUUCUUUUUUCUCAGUUUUUUCAAAAAAACUUAAAUUAAAAAGAUGUGGUCGCUUUUAUAUUUGAAAAUUGUGAAAUGAUCAUUUUCAAAUUCAACUUAAAAUUUUAUAUUAACUAUUGUGUUUCUUAAAAAUAAAAAGCGACCACUUUUAGUCGGUUUUUGAUUUAAAAAAUUAAAAAGAAAAUUCUUUUGAAAAAACAACCACAAGUUGUCUGUUUACAUUAAAAAAAUAAAUUAAACAUAUUAUGUAAAAAGAGUGGUCAAUUUUUGUUAAAAAAAAUUAAAAAUAUUAUGCAAAAAAGAUCACUUGUAGUCGCUUUCUGAUUAAAAAAUAUAAAAAAUAAAAUAUUUAUGAAAAGAGACAAGAAGUGAUCGCUUUUCAUUAGCUAAAUCUAAAAACAAAAAUUCUGAAAAAGUGACCACAAAUGAUUGAUUUUCAUUAAAAAAAAUAAAAAUAUUAUGUAAAAAGUGAUCACUGGUGAUCGCUUUCUGAAUAAGAAUAUAAAAAAUAAAAUAUUUAUGAAAAGUGAUAACAAGUGAUCGCUUUACAUUAAGACAAAAUUAAAAAAAUAUUGAAAAAGCGACCACUUCUGGUCGCUUUCUGAUUAAAAAAUAUAAAAAAUAAAAUAUUUAUGAAAAGCGACUAGAAGUAGUCGUUUUUUAUUUAAAAACCAAUCUAAAAAAAUAUAUUUUUGAAAAAGCGAUCACAAAUGGUCUAUUUUCUUUAAAAAUAAAUUAAAAAUUUUAUGCUAAAAGCGACCACUUGUGGUCACUUUCUGAUUAAAAACAUAAAAAAAAAUAUUUACAAAAAACAAUUACAAGUGGUUGAUUUCUCUAAAAAAAAAUACAUUAAAAAUAUUAUGCUUUAUUAAAAGCAUAUUUCGAUUAUUAUAUGUAAAAUUAAAUAUAUUUUUGAUUGAUAUAUUUUUAUUAUUUAUUUAAUAAAAAUAAAAAUUAAUUAAUACUUAAAUUUGUCAAAAAAACUAUAUUUAAAAAUAAGCUAAGAAAUAUAUUAAAUAAAAUAAAUAACAUAACAUAAAUAUAAUUUUUAUUUUUUACUUAUGUUUCAUUAAAAUAAAUAUACUUGUCAUAGAGUAUGUAUGUGUGUAAUAUAUAUAUAUAUAUAUAUAUAUAUAUUGUGAAGAUCCUUACAAAAGUGAUUUGAACCUUUUGUCCUUCAUUAAAAGUCUCCACAAUAGAUAAAAUGGUCAUUUUAAUAUUUUCAUAGAAUUAUUAUUUAAUUAUAUUUAUUAUAUUCUAACAAGGAGUCCUACAAUAUGUGAUAAUUUUUAAAAAUUAAGAAAUAUACUAAAAUAUGAUACAUUAAAAUAUAUGGUAAGAGUUAUUAGAAAAAUUAAUAGCUAUUAAGUCCUAAAAUAUAUGGUAAAUAAGGAGGAAAAUUUUGAAAAAGAAGUGCACGUUUUAGGCAAAGAAAUACACGUUCAAAAGGAAAAAAGGAAUAAUAAAUUAAGUACAUAACUUAUUAUUAUUAUUCUAAUAUUGUUGUUGUAAGUUUUAAAUUUAACUUUUUGUUAUUAUUUGAUAAUAUAUUUUUCAUAAAUUAUAAAUUAAAUAUUUUUAUAAGAUUUAAAAUUAAAGAGUUCUACAAUAUGGUAUGAGAUAUUAAGAGAAUUAAUAACUAAAAGAAUUACUAGUGAUUUAUACUUUUUGUCCUUCAUUAUAAGACGAAAAUUGUCUUUUUACUAUUUUUAAUUUACUAUUUAAUUAUUUUUAUUAUAAACUAAACUCCUAAAAUAUAUGAGACUGCUAAAAUAUAUGGAAAGAAAAUUAAUUAAUAUUUCUUUUUUAUUGUCAAUUAGAAAAUACUCCUAAAAUAUGAUACAAAAAAUACUCCUAAAAUAGGACUCUAUUAAUGAAAUACAUCUAUAAAUAUUGAGAUGCACAUUAAACUAUCGUAGAAAUCGAUUUACUUAUUGAAAAAAUAUGAUUGAUGCCCAUCUAACUUGAUUCGGUUGCAUGUCUAGAUUGAUGGAUGCUUAAUUUUCUAACCCUCAACUACUUCACUGUUUUGGUCAUCAUAAUAGAAUUCGAUGUGUGUGUAUAUAUAUAUCUUCUUUGUUUUUAUUCAAGUCAUUUUUUAGGAUCAAAAUUUUUGCUCAGACAAAGAAUUAUUUUCAUCAAAAUUGAAGCUUGAUGAUCACUAUUUUAUUAUUUUUUUGUAAUUUACAGGUGGUAGAUGAAUGUCGGUCGGCUUUGAGGAAUUUUUAGAUAAAAGUUAGAUUUAAUUGUAUUGUAUUUAUAUCUUUGUUUUGAGAAUUUUUUUAUGUACAAAUUAAGUUUAGUUGUAUUAUUUUGAUAUCUCUAUUUCGUAUUAUUUUUUAUAGUUACAGUUGGUAGAUGAGUGUCAGACGACUUUGAGGAAAUUUUUCUGUAAAGGUUAGAUUUAAUUAUAUUAUUUUAAUAUCUCAUCGUAUUAUUUUGUAAUUUACAGAUGGUAGAUGAAGUCGAUCAAUGUCAAUCAACUUCGAUAUUUUUUUUUUAUAAAGGCUAAGUUUAAUUAAAUAAAUUCUCCAAAAGAUGUUGAAUUUAAUUAUUGUAUUCAACAUCUUUAUUAUUUAAAUAAAUAUCUUAUUUAGUGUAACUUUGAACUCAAUAAAGUGAGGUACACGCGCGAGACGUGUACAUCUAAACUAGUUAAUUAAUUAAAUGUAUAUAUAUUCAAAAACAACACAUUUGUGGUCGCUUUUUUAUAAAUUUAAUUAAUUAAAUAAUUUUUAUUAAAAUUAAUUAUUUAAUUAAAAUAUAAAAAAACGACCACACGUGAUCGUUUUCUUAUAUUUAUUUAAUUAAUUUAUUUUAAUAAAAUCAAUCCCUUAUGAUCACUUUUAAAUAUAUAUUAAUUAGUUAAUUUUAAAAAAAACGAUCAUAUAUGACCUCUUUUAUUAAAAAUAAUUAAUUAAAUAAAUAUAAAAAAAUCGAUUACAUGUGCAUUUUGAAAUUUUGAAAUUAAAUUUUAUUAAAUCUAAGUGUGUGCUCAUUGAUCCAAUGGCUGUAUUCUAAUUGACAGUUGGGCCAGGCUGUUGUCAGCCUUAAUAUUAUAAAAAAAAAUAAAAAUUAAACUGGAUCGGUCUGGUCUGAUGCAUCGAUGAUUUUGGUCCAAUUUGGUAACUGGGCCGGUCUAUUGGGCUCCUUGAACCAGACGACCUAGCCCACCUACCUAGCCCCAAACUCGUCCAGUUAAUUGAUUUCGAAUCAAACUUGUGUCAGUCUCAUUUUGGGUCUAAUUGGGCUGAGCGGUCCUGACUCGACCCAUAUGACAAGUUUACCUUGAAGGCACAUUGAUUAAACUGUAAAUGGACUUUUUGGUCACAUUGACAUCUUUUAGAACUUUUACAAAAUUUUUACAAGUAAAAGAAAGGCAAUUCACAUUUCUUUUCUUUUUAUAAAAAUGCUCCUAUUUAUAAUAGGACAAGAUAGUACCUCCAUCAUCAAUGACAAACGUAUGAACGUCUCGAGAGUCAAAUAUUUGUAUCUUUUAAUGUUAAGAAAUAAACGUUAUCAAGGGACACUCCCAAUACUAAAACUACAAACAUCACAACAAACGUUGUUAAUGUUGUGGACUUCGUCAGAAAUAAUGAUAGCUCAAUCUAUCUAUAGGUCUAUUACUUUCUUAAUAACUGAAUUAAGAAUAUAAGUAGGCAAAACACUAACUCCGUAUUUUUAGCCAUGUUGUGUGCUUCAAGGUAUGGACAACUUGAACUUUUUUUUCAACUUGAACAAGAUUUUUCAUAUCAUAAAUCAUAGAUUGAUUCAUUUUGACGUAAUGAAUUUUUUUGUAUUCUGAACACCCAUUCAUCCUUAAUAAGCCUUUUCAAUGCCUAUUGAUAUCUCCAUCUUUAUCUUGUAUCCUUUUAUUUAUACAAUAAUAAUUUUGAGAACUGAAUAUGGUUAUUGAAACUUGAUCUUUCUGUAUUUAGUAAUAAUUUGUUUUAGUUGAGCAUGAGUUCUCGUGAUAUAAAUUUUGAUGCGUGUGACUUGAGUAUUAGCCUUUAAUUUUUUUUUGUCAUACCAAAGUAGAACAAAGGAGUGCCCAAGAUAGGGACCUCUACUGGUGCGCUGCUGGAGGCCCCCAUUGGCAUGGGGAAAUCUCUGAACUCCUUUGUUUUACUUUUAUCAUGCCAAAAAAAUUUGAAGACUAAUGCUCAAGUCAUACGCAUGAUAUUUUAUACUCCGAAAACUUAUGUACAACUAAAACAAAUCAUUACUGAAUAUAACACGAAAUAUUGAGUUUCAAUAGUCGUAUUUGAUUGUCAAAAUUAUUAUUGUAUAAAUAAAAAAUUAUGAGAUAAAUGGGGUGAUAUUAAUAGACAUUGCAAAAGCUUAUUAUAAGGGAUCAAAGGGUGCCCGAAAUACAAAAAAUUUCGGAUCAAUCUAUAACUUAUGAUAUAAGAUCUUGUUUCAGCUGCAAAACAAAUUGAAGGUUGUACAUACUUUGCAACACACAACAUGACUAAAAGUGCAGAGUUAUUAUUGUUUUAUCCAUAUAAACAUAUUAGAAAAGUAAUGUACGUACAGAUAGAUGAAAUGAUCAUUAUUAUUGAUGAAGCCCACAACAUUAAUAACCCUUGUUGUGAUGUUGAUAGUUUUAGUAUUGAGAAUAUAUCUGGCCAAAAUUUGCUUCUUAACAUAGAAAGAUACAGGCCUUUGGCUUUCUAGACUUUCAUAAGUUUGUCACGGAGAUACCAUCUCGUUGGAUUAAUAUAAGCAGGAGCAUUUUUAUAAAAAAAAAAAAAAUGAAAAUUGGGCCUUUCGUUUUAUUGAUAAAAAUUUUGUGAAAGUUUUAAAAGAUGCCUAUAUGAUAAAAGAGUUCAUUUACAAUUUAUAUCCAGGUAAACCUGUGAAAUGGGCCCAGUCAAGUUAAUUCGAACCAUUAGAUCGUCUGUUCCAAGGAGCCCGGUGGAAUGACCUCGUUAUCAAAUUGGACCAGGCUCAUCGGUGCACGGACGGGAUUGACCCGAUUUUAAUUUUUUUUUUUUUAAUAAUUGAGGCUGACAACAGGUUGAUCCAAUUGUAAAUUAGACCGUAGACAACCCAAAUGGCUAUAAGACAUUGGCCCAAUGUUUAAUUGUGCAGAAAAUGUACAUACUUUACUUUUUCUAGGUGCCCUGUGAAACAUGUUUAUGAAAUUUUCUAUAUUUCUUUUCUUACUGAUUGAAUUCAUAGACAUUAUAAUACUCAUUAUAUUAAACAAAAAGUAUAAUGCAAUAUUUCUCAGUUUUGAUUAUUAGAUUCUCGAGGCAAUUUUUUCUCGGUACCAAACACAAUAAAAUCUUAGAAAUAAAAUGAGAAGUCAAAUGCAAUAGAUGAAAACAAACAAAAAUAUAACAAAUUGUAAUCUAAGAAAAAGGCUAAUGAUAAAAAAGAAAAUGCAAUAAGUAUUUAGUCAUCCUAUUCUUUUCAUCAAACACCAAUAUUAAUAUAUUCAGAAAACUCAUUAGUUUCAUUCAUCACAAUAUUUGAAAGAAUGAGACCGAAUAUAGUUUCAUGUCUACUAAUAUUUUUGUUCAUCCAUGACUUAGUCAUGGUGAACAAAUUUUCUAGUAGCUUUUGUGUUGAAGCAAGGUCUCUUCAAUAUUAUUGUUCCUAUAUGGAAUUGUUCAAAUCUCAACACAUGGUGGCUAGAGAGCUAGAAGGUUUAAGGAGGAAUAAGGGAAGAAUCAUACCAACACCAUCACCAUCAAAACCUAAUUUGUUGAUUCAUUGGAGUCCUCCUUCUCCACCGACAGGGCCAGAGAUUAGUAUUAGGUAUGGGUUUAGAUGAACUCUCACUAGUUUUGGAAGUAUUAUGUUUGUAUAAGUAAAUGUAUUGAUGAAUAUGUAUCAAGUAUUUAUUUGUGGUUUCAAUAAAUAAGAC